rnacentral:rRNA from 1 species
GGACUCAACGCCGGGCAGCUCACCGGAUAAGACAGCUGGAUGAUAGCCGGGCUGAAGACUCUGCUUGACUAGCUGAGAGGAGGUGCAUGGCCGUCGUCAGUUCGUACUGUGAAGCAUCCUGUUAAGUCAGGCAACGAGCGAGACCCACGCCAACAGUUGCCAGCAUGUCCUCCGGGAUGAUGGGGACACUGUUGGGACCGCCUCUGCUAAAGAGGAGGAAGGAAUGGGCAACGGUAGGUCAGCAUGCCCCGAAUUAUCCGGGCUACACGCGGGCUACAAUGGUCAGGACAAUGGGUAUCGACACCGAGAGGUGGAGGCAAUCUCCUAAACCUGUCCUUAGUUCGGAUUGUGGGCUGCAACUCGCCCACAUGAAGCUGGAAUCCGUAGUAAUCGCGUUUCAAAAUAGCGCGGUGAAUAUGUCCCUGCUCCUU